rnacentral:rRNA from 1 species
GAUGAACGCUGGCGGCGUGCCUAAUACAUGCAAGUCGAGCGAACAGACGAGGAGCUUGCUCCUCUGACGUUAGCGGCGGACGGGUGAGUAACACGUGGAUAACCUACCUAUAAGACUGGGAUAACUUCGGGAAACCGGAGCUAAUAACGGAUAAUAUAUUGAACCGCAUGGUUCAAUAGUGAAAGACGGUUUUGCUGUCACUUAUAGAUGGAUCCGCGCCGCAUUAGCUAGUUGGUAAGGUAACGGCUUACCAAGGCGACGAUGCGUAGCCGACCUGAGAGGGUGAUCGGCCACACUGGAACUGAGACACGGUCCAGACUCCUACGGGAGGCAGCAGUAGGGAAUCUUCCGCAAUGGGCGAAAGCCUGACGCAGCAACGCCGCGUGAGUGAUGAAGGUCUUCGGAUCGUAAAACUCUGUUAUUAGGGAAGAACAAAUGUGUAAGUAACUAUGCACGUCUUGACGGUACCUAAUCAGAAAGCCACGGCUAACUACGUG